ACACUGGGACUGAGACACGGCCCAGACUCCUACGGGAGGCAGCAGUAGGGAAUCUUCCGCAAUGGACGAAAGUCUGACGGAGCAACGCCGCGUGAGUGAUGAAGGUUUUCGGAUCGUAAAGCUCUGUUGUUAGGGAAGAACAAGUGCAAGAGUAACUGCUUGCACCUUGACGGUACCUAACCAGAAAGCCACGGCUAACUACGUGCCAGCAGCCGCGGUAAUACGUAGGUGGCAAGCGUUGUCCGGAAUUAUUGGGCGUAAAGGGCUCGCAGGCGGUUUCUUAAGUCUGAUGUGAAAGCCCCCGGCUCAACCGGGGAGGGUCAUUGGAAACUGGGAAACUUGAGUGCAGAAGAGGAGAGUGGAAUUCCACGUGUAGCGGUGAAAUGCGUAGAGAUGUGGAGGAACACCAGUGGCGAAGGCGACUCUCUGGUCUGUAACUGACGCUGAGGAGCGAAAGCGUGGGGAGCGAACAGGAUUAGAUACCCUGGUAGUCCACGCCGUAAACGAUGAGUGCUAAGUGUUAGGGGGUUUCCGCCCCUUAGUGCUGCAGCUAACGCAUUAAGCACUCCGCCUGGGGAGUACGGUCGCAAGACUGAAACUCAAAGGAAUUGACGGGGGCCCGCACAAGCGGUGGAGCAUGUGGUUUAAUUCGAAG
rnacentral:rRNA from 1 species